ACAGAGUUACAGAUCCAAAUAGCUUGGGAGAUUUAAAUAGCAAGAUAGAAAGGAAUCACCUGUCAUCUUUCAAAAGGCAGAGAUGAAAAUUGGAGUCAAGGAAUGAAAAUCCACCCUGGUAUAGGAAAAGGACUAUUAAUCUCCUGAAAUACUGUUUUACCAGUUAAUGCCUGACGGUCAUCUCCGAAAACUGACUUUCCUCUAAAACUUGUGGAAAAGUCCAAGUACCACUUUCUACUAGUGUCUGGCGACUGAUGAUCCCCGGCUUCUGAAUGUGAUUCCCACUUUCUGGCAGGCGAUGCUCUCCUGCCUCCUGGAGUGGCAUGCCAUCCUCCUCCUGCAGGGGCCUCCCAGUGAAGCAUGAUGACCUCCCAGCCUGGUGCAGUGGUCUCCUCCCAUGGAAACCUCCCAGUGUGGUGACAUACCGGCCUGGCACAGUGGUGUCCCAGUUGGGCGUGCCAACCUUCUGGCCUCCUGCAGCAGACUCCUACUGUAGGUGCCUCCCGUGUGGCAAAAUUCCAGCUUGGCCUCCUGGUAUGGUACGGUGACCUCAAAUCUCCUGGCAUGGCAUAAUGAGCUCACGGCCUCCCGGCAUGGCACAUUGCCGGCACAGUAUGGAGCCAGGGCCCAGUGUGAACAGGAAGCUAAGUGCCAGCAUGGUCUGCUGAAUUGAAUUAUUUUCUGUAACGCUGUACAUUUUAUUUCUGUAUUGUCUAAAAUCUUGUAACAGAAGAAGCUAUGCCUAGUUACUUUUGCAUCUAAGUUGGUACCAUAAUUGGUGAUGUAUAAACUUUUCAUUAUACUCAUUGUGUAUAUGUGACAACAAAGGCUAUUCUAUUGUAUUCUAUUCUA